GGAUUGUGGCUCAGAGGUAGAGCGUUCGCCUUGCAUGGGUGAGGCACUGGGUUUGAUCCUCAGCACCA
rnacentral:tRNA from 1 species